ensembl:antisense 6330418K02Rik RIKEN cDNA 6330418K02 gene
GAAAGCGGAAGCGGAAGGAAGGGGGCGUGGCCUCCGAGGCUUCUUGGCUGAGUCGAGGGCCUGGGCAUUGUGCAUGAAGCCCACCACAUCGUCCAGACUCCAGCACAGGGCAUCUGCCAACAGGACCAGUGACUCAUCAAAGUACUCGGCCACCAUGACCAGGUCAAAGACUGAGUCCAACCAGGCCAGACCCCACUGGAUAAAGGAUGAGGGCCUAAAAUCUGAGGAGACAAGGCUGGCUGGCUGCUUGUAACUAUCAGCAGCUGUGGUAACAGGACGGAAGAGAGUUCCAGGGCUAGCACCCGAAGGAGAAGGCAGAGCGGGCUAUAGCUGCUGGAUCUCGGACAAUGGAAAAGAAGAAGCUAUCAGAAGGCAUGACCUGAAGAACCUGCAGAGGAAAGAAAGAGAGGAAGAGCUUGACUGAGGAGAAAAUGAGUCCAAGCUGAGGCUCUGAUGAGCCGUCAGGCUCUGCUGUACACCCCCAGUUUCCCCUACUAGCUGUGUGAUGUUGGGGAAAUUACAUAGCACCUCUGAAAUUCAAUUUGCUGUCUGCAAAAGGAAAGUAGUCAGAGGUUCCCAGGUAAUUGAGAAUACUCGAAAUAACAGCUAGUCAGAAAUCUAGAACACAAAGCUCUUACUGGUUAUUAAUGUCCUUGGGUUUUUGUGUCUUCGUUGGUAGAGAAAACUCUCAAACCUGGGGCUGGGGAGAUGGCUCAGUCAAUAAAGUGUGUGCCACACAAGUA